rnacentral:rRNA from 1 species
AACAAACGCUGGCGGCGUGCUUAAUACAUGCAAGUCGAACGUGGUAGCAAUACCAAGUGGCGCACGGGUGAGUAACACGUGGAUAAUCUGCCUUAGAGUGGGGAAUAACUAGUCGAAAGAUUAGCUAAUACCGCAUGAGACCACAGGAUCUUCGGAUCUAGGGGUUAAAGUUUUUCGCUCUAAGAUGAGUCCGCGUCAGAUUAGGUAGUUGGUAGGGUAAUGGCCUACCAAGCCGACGAUCUGUAGCUGGUCUGAGAGGAUGAUCAGCCACACUGGAACUGAGACACGGUCCAGACUCCUACGGGAGGCAGCAGUAGGGAAUAUUGCGCAAUGGGCGAAAGCCUGACGCAGCAACGCCGCGUGAGUGAUGAAGGAUUUCGGUUCGUAAAGCUCUGUUGCAGGGGAAAAAGAAAGUGAUUGUACUCUGCGAGAAAGGGACGGCAAACUUCGUGCCAGCCGCCGCCGUAA